rnacentral:rRNA from 1 species
GCCUACGGCUCAACCGUAGAACUGCAUCCAAAACUAUUUAGCUAGAGUGUGGGAGAGGAAGAUGGAAUUAGCUGUGUAGGGGUAAAAUCCGUAGAGAUAACUAGGAAUACCAAAAGCGAAGGCAAUCUUCUGGAACAUUACUGACGCUGAGGCGCGAAAGCGUGGGGAGCAAACAGGAUUAGAUACCCUGGUAGUCCACGCCCUAAACGAUGAAUGUUAGUCGUCGGGUAGCUAGUCUAUUCGGUGAUGCAGCUAACGCAUUAAACAUUCCGCCUGGGGAGUACGGUCGCAAGAUUAAAACUCAAAGGAAUAGACGGGGACCCGCACAAGUGGUGGAGCAUGUGGUUUAAUUCGAAGAUACGCGAAGAACCUUACCUAGCCUUGACAUAUUUAAGAAUCCGAUAGAGAUAUUGGAGUGCCUUCGGGAGCUUUCUUACAGGUGCUGCACGGCUGUCGUCAGCUCGUGUCGUGAGAUGUUGGGUUAAGUCCCGCAACGAGCGCAACCCUCGUCACUAGUUACUAACGGUUCGGCCGAGGACUCUAGUGAGACUGCCUUCGUAAGGAGGAGGAAGGUGAGGACGACGUCAAGUCAUCAUGGCCCUUACGGCUAGGGCAACACACGUGCUACAAUGGCCAGGACAGUGAGACGCGAUACCGUGAGGUGGAGCAAAUCUAUAAACCUGGUCUCAGUUCGGAUUGUAGUCUGCAACUCGAUUACAUGAAGCUGGAAUCACUAGUAAUCGUAGAUCAGCUAUGCUACGGUGAAUACGUUCCCGGGUCUUGUACUCACCGCCCGUCACACCGUGGGAGUUGAUUUCACCCGAAGCGGGGAAGCUAAACUGGCUACCCUCCACGGUGGAAUUAGCGACUGGGGUGAAGUCGUAACAAGGUAACC